rnacentral:tRNA from 1 species
CUAAGGAAUAAUACGGAAACUGCACAUAUCGAAACAUUAUUCAGUUUUGAGAGAUCUAUCUCAAAAUGGGGCCUUAGCUUAGUUGGGAGAGCGCCUGCUUUGCACGCAGGAGGUCAGCGGUUCGAUCCCGCUAGGCUCCAUAGGAUACAUCCUAACAACAAUUAAGAAAUUGAAGUUGAACACGCAACUAACUUCUUAGUAAAAUAGAGUAUCUUCCUAGUGUGCAAGCACACGAUGUCAGAUACCUAAUUUUCUACAGAAGUUUCGCAAAAGUGAACGUUGCGUAGUAUCCUAGUGAUAGUCCAUUGAAAAUUGAAUAUCUAUAUCAAAAUCCACGAUUAUCGUAAGAUAAUUGUAGAAAAGUAACAAGAAAAUAAACCGAAACGCUGUAAGUAUUUAAUGAGUUUAGAUCGCAAGAUCAAAAAUAA